rnacentral:rRNA from 1 species
AAUAGAUACCCUGGUAGUCCACGCCGUAAACGAUGGAUACUAGCUGUUUGUUCGAAAGGAUGAGUGGCUAAGCGAAAGUGAUAAGUAUCCCACCUGGGGAGUACGGGCGCAAGCCUGAAACUCAAAGGAAUUGACGGGGGCCCGCACAAGCGGUGGAGCAUGUGGUUUAAUUCGAUGAUACGCGAGGAACCUUACCAGGGCUUAAAUGUAGAUUGACAGGCGUGGAAACAUGCUUUUCUUCGGACAAUUUACAAGGUGCUGCAUGGUUGUCGUCAGCUCGUGCCGUGAGGUGUCAGGUUAAGUCCUAUAACGAGCGCAACCCCUGUUGUUAGUUGCCAGCACGUAAUGGUGGGAACUCUAGCAAGACUGCCAGUGUAAACUGUGAGGAAGGUGGGGAUGACGUCAAAUCAUCACGGCCCUUACGUCCUGGGCCACACACGUGCUACAAUGGGCGGUACAGAGAGCAGCUACCUAGUGAUAGGAUGCGAAUCUAUAAAACCGUUCUCAGUUCGGAUCGGAGU